GGCUGGUCCACAUGGUUAUACUGAACUUAAAUCUCUUUUGUGUCUCUAUCGUACACAUGAAAGCUCACACACACACACACACACACACACACACACACAGUGUGAGAAGCACUCACACUGACUCAGCGUCUGAUGGAAACGGUGUACACAGCUGAUAAGCACUGAAGGACUUUGCAGAACACCCAGGGCUGGAAUAGGCCAGUGUGUGAAACCAGAACGUGAGCCCUGCUCACUUGCCCUUUCCUGCAUCUGACUGGAAAUGCUACAAACAGAAGGAAAUAGUGAGCGAAAUUAACAACCUCAUGAGGAUCUUGCUUGCAGUGAACAGAACCUUCUGAAAGGAUGGAUGAUUAUAACUCCUCAGCAUUCACUGUUUCUUAAAACAGGCCUUUCUGAAAGUUUUUUUUCUUUAAUAAAAAUUACCACUUUUUCCAAGGA
rnacentral:lncRNA from 1 species